rnacentral:lncRNA from 1 species
AAGGCCCGUCUCUGCAUCUCUACAGUUCUCUUUGGUUUUCAUUUUUCAUUUGGCUUAGUUUAGGGGUUUUUGUUUGUUUGGGUUUUUUUGUUUUGUUUUGUUUUGUUUUGUUUUGGUUUUGGUUUGUUUGUGGGGUUUUGGGGUUGUUUUUUUUUUUGGUGGUUUUUUUUUUUUUUUUUUUUAAAGAAAAAUUUUCUGCUUUGGGUGGGGACUGAGGACAGAGGGGAGGGACUUGGUGUGAUAGACAUAUAACAGUCACUUCUUGAAGAAGUGCAGUUGUAAAUAAGCCAUGUAAAAUGCCUUUUUAAAGUUUAAUUUUAUAGCUGGCUCCACAUCAAAGUGAGGGCCUCAUAUGUUAGAUCACCUUGGGUGGCAAACACCCCAGUUCCCACGCAGUUGAGUGUCAUCACCCAAGUCCCUGUCAUCUAGGAAGGAAGUGGAUGCAGGGUGGAACAAAGAACCUCCGGUCACUGUAGCCCCUCUUCUCUGCUCUGCCCCUCCUUUCCUGUCCCCUCCUUUAGCCCCUUCCCCCAAGGACUUCCUCCUGGAGACUCAGCCCCUAAGCUGGAACUGCUGUUAGGGGCACAGUGCUCUCCCCUCUUACAGACCCAGCGGAGCCAGCUGGGAUGUGCAGGGGAGGGGAGGCAAAGGCCCAGGGCACAGGCUUAUCACUCCAGUAUGGAUGGCGGGAGCUAGAGACCAGGAGAUAUGAGGCCAGUGUGAGCUGUGUCACAAGUUCCAGGUCAGCCUGUGCUGUGUAGCACAGUCCAGCUCCCUACACCUCCUCACACACACAGUGGCUGCUGGGUGACCGUUCCCUUUUUUCUUUGGAACUUGGCCACAGUUUCUCUGGGCUGUGCCUGCAUGACCAGCUGGCUUCAGUGAUUUCUCCGUUUCCCUCUUUAGUUUCUAGGAAGCCACUGUGCUGUGCUAAGAAGCAGUUGGUCAGGAGGGCUCAGCCCAGGAGCAGGUGGCCCUGGGGUGCAUGUCAGCCAGGGGCCAGUCAGCCCAGCAGUCUCCCCUGCUCCCUGACAUGAGUUCCUAAAGGGCACUGAAAAGGGCACCUCCUUCCUGUGUCUGCCUCCACUGCACCCCCAGUCCCUAAAGCAGGGAUCGUGUGUGGUGAGGAACGCUCUCUUCUGGCCUCAAGCUCUUUGCCUCUUUGCCUUCAGCACCCUUGAUGUUCAUGGUUUACAUGGGUGGGGGUGGGAUGUAGAUAUGUGGGGGUGGGGUUUUGCAUCACACAGUUGGUUCUGAGGACAGAUGAUCCCCACAGACUGUGGGAGUGAUUGGCCAGGCCUUGUUUUUUCUUGUGUUUUGUUCUUUUUGUAGACUAGUGUGGUAACUAGGGAACAGAUGGCACUGCAGAGUGCUUCCCGCUCAUAUGAGAGAGCAGGUGUCUGCCCUUGAGAGCUGGUGAGCCGCGUCAUCUGUUUGCGCUGGGCAAGGAGCUGCACCGCUGCGUUGAAAAAAUACAUAUUCAAU